GAGGGAGGCAGAGUUGAACAACGGCGAGGAAAAGGAGGACGGUCGGUGGUACCGAGGGUCACAGGGAUGUACAGUAAACACAGGCAGAAAAAUGGUCAAAUAUCACCGGCAAAAUGUGGACGUUUGCUCCUUUUUCUGUCUUUUCUGUUGCUGAACGGGACUUUGGAAAGAGCCAGCGGAGACACCGGAGAGGAAGGGCCGAGGACGGGAAGGACAGUGACGGCACAGUGGCUUUCUCAAGGCCGGAUCAAGAGGGAGGCUGAGACCCUGACACAGGUAGAGCAUCCGGUCAGAGGGGAGAUAGUGCUGUCAUCAAGUAACCUCCACCUGGUGCUACAAGUGGAACGUAAUCACGAGCUUUUAGGUCCAGACUUCACAGAGACCUACUAUACAGAAGAUGGACAGCCGGUGACUGUGACCAAUCACAAUUACACUGACCACUGCUUCUACCACGGCCAUGUGAGAGGACAUCCAGAGUCCUGGGUGGCUCUCAGCACCUGCUCAGGAGUCAGGGGCCUGAUAUCCUUGAAUUCUAGUGACACCUACUACCUGGAGCCAAUCGGUGGUGUGGAUCCUCCUCACCAUUCACUGCUGAGUACGGAGGAACUGCCUAUUAAAGGUGGAAACUGUGGCCACAGCCAUCAAACUGCACAGUCCAACCACAUCUCUGACCUGCUCAGACCAUUUAAUUUAAGGGUUAAAAGGAACACCUGGGGUACAACCAAGUACAUGGAGCUGUACAUCGUGGCUGACAACACACUGUUUAAGCGGCAGAAUAAGGACUAUGAAAAGACCAAGGCAAGGAUAAUGGAAAUUGCCAAUUACGUGGAUAAGUUCUACAGGGCUCUGAACAUCCGUGUGCCUCUGAUCGGCCUGGAGGUUUGGACUGACAGGGACCAGUGCAUCGUGACGGAGGAGCCGAAUGCCACCCUCUGGUCCUUCCUGCAGUGGAGACAGAAGCUGAAAUCCCGCAAGAAGCACGACAAUGCGCAGCUGCUGACGGGUGUGAUUUUCAAGGGGACGACUAUUGGGAUGGCACCACUGGAGGGGAUGUGCAGCCUGGAAAACUCUGGAGGCAUCAAUGUGGACCACUCUGAGCUGUCCAUUGGUGCUGCAGCAACCAUGGCCCACGAGAUCGGCCACAACUUCGGGAUGAGCCAUGACCACGAGGGCUGCUGUGUGGAGGCCACCGCCGAGCAGGGAGGCUGUGUGAUGGCUGCCGCCACCGGGCAUCCAUUUCCACGAGUCUUCAGCCGCUGCAGUAAGCGCGACCUGGACAGCUACUUCCAGAAGGGAGGUGGCAUGUGUCUCUACAAUAUGCCCAACAUGAAGGACUUGGUGGGGGGAAAGAAGUGCGGCAACGGAUUCGUGGAGGAUGGAGAAGAGUGCGACUGUGGAGAACCUGACGAAUGCACCAAUGGCUGCUGCAAUGCCAAUAACUGCACCUUGAAGGAGGAGGCUCAGUGCGCCCAUGGAGUAUGCUGUGAGGGCUGCAAAUUGAAGCAGGCAGGUACCAUGUGCCGGGGGCCAGCAGGGGCGUGUGAUCUGCCAGAGUACUGCACGGGGGCCUCUCCUUACUGUCCUGCCAAUGUCUACCUGCUGGAUGGCUCCUCCUGUCAGUACGGGCUGGCUUACUGCUACAACGGCAUGUGCCUCACCCACGAACAGCAGUGCCUGCAGCUGUGGGGCUACGGAGCUCGACCGGCCCAUGACGCCUGUUUCGAAGACGUCAACGCAGCAGGAAAUGCCUUUGGAAACUGUGGGAAAGAUGAACACGGCAACUACAUGAAGUGUGAGAAAAGAGAUGCCAAGUGCGGUAAGAUCCAGUGCCACAGUGCUGCCAAGAAGCCUAAAGGCACCAAUGCUGUUUCCAUUGACACCACCAUCAAGACGGACGGCAUCGAGGUUAAGUGCCGUGGCACCUACGUCUACAGCACCCAGGACGGCCAGGGUGACCUGCCUGACCCCGGCCUCGUCAUGACUGGCACCAAGUGUGGAGAGGGAAAGGUGUGCAGAGACCGCCGAUGCCAAAAUGCCUCUUUCACUGAGCUGGAGACUUGCAUCGCACGCUGUCACGACAACGGGGUGUGUAACAGUAACGGGAACUGCCACUGUAAUCGAGGCUGGGCUCCACCCUUCUGUGAAAAGCCAGGACUUGGCGGCAGUGUGGACAGUGGACCUAUCCAGUAUGACAGUCAGGUGGGGCUGGUGGUGGGGCUGCUGUUUGCCUUCCUGGUGGUCCUGCCUGCAGUGCUUCUGCUUUUCUACUGCUACAGGAUAAAGACGUCCUAUUACCACAAGUGGCUUUCACAAAGAGAGAAGAACAAGAGCAACAAGACGGAGGCAUCGGUGGAGAAAGGGAAGAACGGCCAUCUGAAUCCUGCCUUUCACCUGAAGGUGGUCGGACCCAUCAACAAAGCCAGCAGCCACAAGGGGCUUCCUCACACUAGCAAAGAGGUACUGCCUCUCAGACCAGGCCUGGCACCUAAUGGCACCCAGCCAGUCAACAUUGUGCGACCUCUGAGACCCGCUCAGUCUCCUCAGGGUGGUCCCCGGGACCUCAAGGCGGUUCGCCCGCCCCUGCCUGCUGGCAAACCCCCAGUGGCCCCACCCAAAUCACCCGCGACCCCACAGAGACUCAGCCCACCCAAGAAACCUCUGCCCCUCAACCCGACUCGAGCCCCACUGAGACUCCUGCUUCGUCAACCCAGCGGUCUUCGAUGGUUCGUCUUUUGGUGUCUGAGCUGCAGCCCAGACUGUCCCCCUUCCCUCCUCAGAGGCCCCUCCCCCUCAGCCCGGCCAGAGGAGCCUCCCUCAGAGCGAGUCCAGCCUUACCUGCGGUUUCCAAACCGUCUCCACGUCUGUUGGUCAUGAUGCCCCCAGCCGUGGGACCCAAACCUGUGGGCAAAGUCUCAGCCAUCCCCCCUCUCAGAGCUCUCAGACCAGUCCCAGGUGCCAAACCAAACACAGCCUCACUUCCACCAAGAAAAUGACCUUCUCCUCCACCUUCCCCUCUCUGAGGAGGCAGCGGCUGACGGCCUAUUUGCACUAAAGAGACUUUGGCUGGUGAACCACAGAGCUGUCACACACACCAGAGGAGGACAAACACAAAGUUUAAAACCAGAGACACGAAUGAACAAACAGGACUCAAACCAGUUUAGACUUCAAAAUGAACCCCCCCAAAUAACCCCCACCUCCCCUCUUCCUCUCCUUUCAAUUUUGACCCCACGCCCUACACCCUGCUCUCUCCGGCGUGCUAACAGUAGCCACAACGACGCGGUUUUGCACGGACGCCUUGCAGACUGAGACAAGUGUUAUCGCUGGGGGACGGUCACAUUUGCCAAAUCAUUUUUUCUAAAGAUUGUUUGUUUUUUUUUUUUAAUCUGUUGAUGCUGUGUAUAAAAAAAAAUGCAUUUUGUAAUGACUGCUGUUCUGUUUACAGUUUAUGUGCCAAAGAGGUCUUUUCAUACCUGGGGUGUGUCCCCAAAGCUUGAAAAUCUCCUCACGUUAAGUUUACCAUAGGUCAACUCCUCCAUCUUUGUAGGUUUUAUAAUUUAUUCAGUAGUCUGAGGAAUGUCUCAUACAGCGUGGAGAGGUGGAGGCAGAGCCUGCAGCAGCUUCUCUCAACUCUGUUUACAUGGUGGAGGACUGGAUGGACGCUCGGGGCUCACAGGACACACCCCAGUCACUCAUGUUGGUUUGAAUGUCUUUUGCUGUGUGUUAUUACUUUUAAAUUGUUGCAUAAAAUAUUUUUACAAAAUGA